GGUGACGGUCACUUCAAAAUUCAUACCUAACUGGAGACGGUGCCGACUGUGGCAGAGAUGCUUAGUAAGGUCAACUGAAAUGCCAGAAUUUGAACAAAGGCAACAAGGAAGACAGGGUCAGAUGGCCAACACUGUGUCACAUGCUCGCACUCAGUAAGGGUUCCCACAGCAACCGUCACUCAUGGUAACAGCGAGGCAGCAGAGGACGACACACAGGCUGUCGUAGAAAGCACGGUGCCAAGUGCAGCACACUGAGUUACGGCUAUCGUAGGAGUCUCAAAUCUCAGCUCUCCAGCAGAUGUCUCUGCCAAGGCUGCCUGCAUACGGUUAGGGGCCUGUUCUGAGAUACGGAACCAUCACAGGGCGCUCAGAGGCCUCAGCAGCCCUGUUGGAGGUCCAAAGCGGCCCCAGGGAGAACUUUAUUACAGGUGGCUCCCAGGGGGAAGGCGAACCGCCUCCUGCUCAGAAAGUCUGGCCGUGCAGUUUUACAGCCCACUUUGCAGUACUCCUCAACAACGGGUGCGGUGGACUCACACAGACCUGGCUUGUGAGAGCUGACAGGAAAAGAAAUACUGCUGAGAAACGUGGCUUCCCCGAUAUUAAUGCAGCCUCAAUAUCAGCUUUAUUGAUGAGUUAAUACCAAAGCUAAAGGAAAAAGUGAGUGCUAUUUAACAAAAUUCACCAUUUGCAAGAGGAAAUGCUAUUUAUCAAUUAUCCUCAGAUUUACAAAUGGCACC